rnacentral:rRNA from 1 species
GAAACAUCUUAGUACCCGGAGGAAGAGAAAGAAAAUUCGAUUCCCUUAGUAGCGGCGAGCGAAACGGGAAGAGCCCAAACCAACAAGCUUGCUUGUUGGGGUUGUAGGACACUCUAUACGGAGUUACAAAGGACGACAUUAGACGAAUCAUCUGGAAAGAUGAAUCAAAGAAGGUAAUAAUCCUGUAGUCGAAAAUGUUGUCUCUCUUGAGUGGAUCCUGAGUACGACGGAGCACGUGAAA